UAAACAAAUUAAUAUCAGGAGGCUAUCCCUGACAAAGGACAAUGAAUAGUAAAGUAUCGUGUACUCCAGGGUCCAUUCUGUUAAACACAAAAUACAAUCCCGCAUGUGGAUCAUAAACCAGUCCUAACCAGAUACUGAAAUAUAGGCUUCCAACUUCUAAGAAAAGUUAUAAGGAAUCAACACUUCCUGUUUGUCGCCAGCCCCCAUUUUGUAGAUCAAGGUCAAACUAGAAUGUGGAGGUUGUCUAAUGAAAGGCUGAGCCAAUGACAAAUGCCCUGAAAAUAGAAGAGGAUUCUAAUCACAGUGGUAGAGGCUUAGAACACAAGAUCUUACAAAAUCUGUUGUAACAACUCACCACUUAGUUCCCAACUGGUGGCAUUGUUCAAAACAUUUGGGUGAUAUUUUUAAAUCAAGAUUUAACUACAACAAAAGAUUUAACUUUACCCAGAGCGACUUCUAGAAGCAACACUGAGGGCCAGACCCACGGAGAAGCACAGAAGGGGGGAUGAAAUAGGGAGUCCUGCCAUAGGUGGCUGUGCAGGUCCCGAGUGAGGCUGUUAACUGGUGCCUUUUAAGGACCUGCAGGGAUUAUUCUGAGAUACGCUAGCAACACCAGUAUUAAGCUGUCUACAACCAAUCAAAACAAUUAUCUGAACAAACAGGAGGUUUGUAAAUGCCCUAAUUCGAUUGAUGUGACAUGGGUGUAUCUCGGGCUUGACGUAAUAAAGCAAUGUCUCCAUUUGAUGGUUGAGAACUGAGGUGUGGAAAUGACAAGGUUAAUAAGUGAUAGAGUCUUAUCUAGAACCCAGGUAAACUAGAACCCUGUCUGUUCUUCCCAUCAUGACCUGUACCUUCACAAUUUAAAUAACUCAAUGUACAGACAUUGUGUCUUGAUUCAUGCAGUGUACCUGGGGAUCACAGGGCAAGCAAAGGUGAGUCAGCAGACACCCUGAUGGGCUGUAAGACCAGGGUAGCCUUGCUGUGAGGCAGAAAGGGGCCAGUGCCAUUACUUGGCUUAGCUAAAGAGCAUAGAAUCUGAGGAUUGGGAAGUCCCCACUCUCAUCCACGCCCAGGGGGGCAUGUGAAGGGGCAUUCUAGGCAAGGAGGCCCAGCAGUGAAAGCGCCCGGUGGGUAUGAGGGCUGGAACAAAGGCCCUGCAAACACUGCCUCAGUAUGUAUCAGGCCUGUGCCACGCACUUAAGUAUACAUCAACCCUGAUUUAACAGUCGGGACUCAGCCCCAGGUUAAAAUAGGUUCAGAGAAGUGACUAUAUCAGAAAGUAGGUGGAGAGAAGGGAGUGGAGGAAAAAGAGGGGUGGGAAGUUGGUGUGAGAUCCUCGUGGGCUCAGUCACAAGCCGAGAUCCACCCCUUCCCCCACGUCCUCCCCUCUCCCCUGCCCCACCCCAGGCAGCAGCCCUCCUUUGCCCACCCUCUGCAACAGAGACAAACAUUUCUAAAAAUGGUGUUUCGUAAAAGAGUGGGUUUAAGAAAUUAAAGUUGGUCAGCUAGAACUACACAAGAAUUUACAGCUACUUAAAGCCUCUUCAAAUUGCUGUCAACUCUUUAAAUAAAUAGGUAAAAGGAAGUAUAUUUGAUACCCAAGCCAGUUUGGUUCAGUGGAUAGAGUCAGCCCAUGGACAGAAGGGUCCCAAGUUCAAUUGCGGUUGCAGGCUCUAUCCCUGGCCCUGAUUGAGGCACGUGCAGGAAGCAACCAAUUGAUGUUUUUUUCUCUCUGUCUCUCCCCCUCCCUUCCACUCUCUAAAAAUCAAUGGAAAAAUAGCCUUGGGUGAGGAUUAACAAAAAAAAGAAACAGUGUAUUUGGGAACUGAAUAUUCUACCAAGUAGCUCUAGCAUUAACCCCCUUCCUCAUUUGCCAUCCUUGGUGUCAGGGUUAGAAGGCUUUGAAAUUAAGAGCUUGACUAAUUUUUUUUCCCCAGGAGAUAAUUCUUUCAAAAUGAGCACAUAGCCUAAGGUCUCGAUAAUUUCUUUUUUUCUCUUUUGAGUUUUUUCUUUGUUUUUGUAAAUUUCUUAUACUCUUUAAUCGUAACUCAAAUAUUUAUAAAAUAUAUGUCCACAUGAUAAAGGCCGUACAUGACAAAGCUACAGCCAACAUCAUGCUCAAUGGGCAAAAUGUUCAUAAAAGGCACUGUUCCUGGGGAGCUUGCUAAACACUGAGAUUGUGGACCCACCCAGAACAGCUAGGCUCUCCUGUAUCAGGGGACAGUGGGCAGGGCCCACCUGUUUUCCAAGGCCUACAAAGGUGUCUGAGCUGAAAAGAACUGUGUCAUCUCUCAAAUCUGACCCAACAACUGCAAACUCAGAAGGAAUAAUUGUUUAACACAACAAAAGGAAACGAGCACAAGGACAACGUCAGGGGCAGAGAGAUGUGACAUAGCUGGUUCCGUGAUCCACCGUGGAGACAGAACUAAAGACCGCCGCUCAGCAUCACCUGGGAACUGGUUAGGUGUGCAGAAUAUCAACCGCCUCCACACACCUGCUGAACCAAUCUUCAUUUUACCAAGUUUGAGAAGCACCGAUGUGAACCAUAAAAGCAGCAGACUUCAAAUUGUGUUCUGCGAGCUGGUUAAAAACACACACACACACAACAGUAUUAUUAUUAGUUUUCAUUUUUUAUAAGUGAAUUUUUAUGACAGUGUUAGAUCUGCAUUGAAAUGCACAAAAACAGUUGAAUACAGAAAUCAAUAAUGUUGGGACAAUUGGAUGUCCACGUGCCAAAGAAUGAAGUUGGACCCAUACUUACCACCAUAUACAAAAAUUAACUCAAAAUGGAUCACAGUCCUAAACAUAAGAGUUAAAAAAAAUAGAACUCUUAGAAGAAAAUAUGAGUUAAUCUUCAUAACGUUAGGUUAGGCAAAGAGUUCUUAGAUAUGACAAUAAAACUGCAAGUGACAAA